AUGGCUCCAUUGUCUGAGACCUUCUUCAAUCACAUCCCUGUUACCGUGCAGACGAGUGCAUUUCUGGCCUGGGAACCCUGUCUCCCAGGCAACCCGGCUCGCUCACAAAAACAUACCACUUCGCAGAAGAGCACAUUAGAAUUAAAUAUAAAACCAAGGCUUUUCCAUCUUUCUCCAUGUGUUUGGGCUACGCCGACUUUAUUUACAGAGUCGCUGAGGCCAAGGAAGACAUCCCUUCUCGGGGGACAACCGCCUGUGCUGAGCAAAACAGCGGGAAGAAAAGGCUCUCAGACACGGUCAGAAGGAAAAAAGCAAGAGCUGGAGAACCACACCACGUAGAAGAUGAACAGCAACUGCCUCCCUUCUCUUUUUAAUGUAAGGUAUCUUGUGCAUACAAGAGAGUAGGUCGUGUAGGCUCAGCUUGAAAAAUAUGUAUAAAGCAAAUACCCUUGGAACCAUCAUCAAAGUCAGACACAGAUCAGGGCCAGGGUCUCAGAGGCCCAUCCCUCGUGAGCCCCUCCUGGUCACAGUUUCACGGGAGCAGACGUUGGGGGUGGGGUGGAGAGGAGAGGACCCAGGAGCAGGGAGGUGACGUGCUGGGAGGCGAGAGCAGGGGCGGGUAGCAAUGGCCAAGAGGGUUUUUAAGGACAGAAAGCCUAGUGCUGGUGUUUUAGUUACCUGGGGUUAUAAGGUAGGCUUUUUUCUCCUGUAAGCCUCCAUUUCCAAUAGAACGUGUUUAUGUAUCUGGCAGUGGGGCGGGGGGCGGGGGGGCGCAGAGGGAAAUGGAAGCGACGGGUCCGUCCCAGGUUUGGGCUGAUCCUGCAGCAGAGACCAGGGAGUAUCCCAAGAUGCCGAGAGGAAAAGGAAAAUUCAAAGGACACUGCGCCUCAGAGUUGGGGGAGAACUCGGACACCCCAUGGGGACGUCCAUCCCGGGGAUUCUCCCCACACUUGCAUCCUGACCUCAACUUCCAUAUGGGUCCUGUUCCUUGUCCAGGAGACGGGAGCCCAGGAAAGCCCAGGGAAGGAAAAGCAUAAGGGAAAAG
rnacentral:lncRNA from 9 species